rnacentral:rRNA from 1 species
UACAGAGGGUGCGAGCGUUAAUCGGAAUUACUGGCGUAAAGCGCGCGUAGGCGGCUUUGCAAGUCGGGUGUGAAAUCCCCAGGCUUAACCUGGGAACUGCAUUCGAGACUGCAUUGCUAGAGUAUGGGAGGGGGAAGUGGAAUUUCCGGUGUAGCGGUGAAAUGCGUAGAUAUCGGGAGGAACACCGGUGGCGAAGGCGGCGACCUGGGUAGAUACUGACGCUGAGGUGCGAAAGCGUGGGGAGCAAACAGG